AUUCAUCUGAUGAUUCCCACAUGGGGCGAAACGUGCGUCAUGGAU
rnacentral:hammerhead_ribozyme from 1 species